UAGUAACGGCGAGUGAAGCGGCAACAGCUCAAAUUUGAAAUCUGGCGUAAGCCCGAGUUGUAAUUUGUAGAGGAUGCUUCUGGGCAGCGGCCGUUCUAAGUUCCUUGGAACAGGACGUCAUAGAGGGUGAGAAUCCCGUAUGUGACCGGCACGUACCCUCCACGUAGCUCCUUCGACGAGUCGAGUUGUUUGGGAAUGCAGCUCUAAAUGGGAGGUAAAUUCCUUCUAAAGCUAAAUACCGGCCAGAGACCGAUAGCGCACAAGUAGAGUGAUCGAAAGAUGAAAAGCACUUUGGAAAGAGAGUUAAAAAGCACGUGAAAUUGUUGAAAGGGAAGCGCUUACAACCAGACUUCGUGGCGGUGUUCCGCCGGUCUUCUGACCGGUCUACUCGCCGCCGCGAGGCCAGCAUCGUCUGGGGCCGCCGGAUAAGACCUUGGGAAUGUAGCUUGCCUCGGUAAGCGUUAUAGCCCCUGGUGAUGCGGCGUGUCUCGGGCGAGGUCCGCGCUUCGGCAAGGAUGCUGGCGUAAUGGUUGUCAGCGGCCCGUCUUGAAACACGGACCAAGGAGUCUAACAUCUAUGCGAGUGUUCGGGUGUCAAACCCCUACGCGUAAUGAAAGUGAACGGAGGUGGGAAGCGCAAGCUGCACCAUCGACCGAUCCUGAUGUCCUCGGAUGGAUUUGAGUAAGAGCAUAGCUGUUGGGACCCGAAAGAUGGUGAACUAUGCCUGAAUAGGGUGAAGCCAGAGGAAACUCUGGUGGAGGCUCGCAGCGGUUCUGACGUGCAAAUCGAUCGU
rnacentral:rRNA from 1 species